GGUAGUAGCUCAGUUGGUAGAGCAUUAGCCUUCCAAGCUGAGGGUCGCGGGUUUGAGCCCCGUCUUCCG
rnacentral:tRNA from 1 species